rnacentral:rRNA from 1 species
GAUGAACGCUGGCGGCGUGCCUAAUACAUGCAAGUCGAGCGAACAGAUGAGGAGCUUGCUCCUCUGACGUUAGCGGCGGACGGGUGAGUAACACGUGGAUAACCUACCUAUAAGACUGGGAUAACUUCGGGAAACCGGAGCUAAUACCGGAUAAUAUAUUGAACCGCAUGGUUCAAUAGUGAAAGACGGUUUUGCUGUCACUUAUAGAUGGAUCCGCGCCGCAUUAGCUAGUUGGUAAGGUAACGGCUUACCAAGGCAACGAUGCGUAGCCGACCUGAGAGGGUGAUCGGCCACACUGGAACUGAGACACGGUCCAGACUCCUACGGGAGGCAGCAGUAGGGAAUCUUCCGCAAUGGGCGAAAGCCUGACGGAGCAACGCCGCGUGAGUGAUGAAGGUCUUCGGAUCGUAAAACUCUGUUAUUAGGGAAGAACAAAUGUGUAAGUAACUAUGCAUGUCCUGACGGUACCUAAUCAGAAAGCCACGGCUAACUACGUG